AAAUUAGCCCAUUGAAAGAGAGAGAGUUGAAUGUGUUUUGCGAAGGAAACAGAGAGUCGCAGAGAGAACUUCUGAUUGGCGAUGAUCUCCAUUCACUGCUGCAUCUCUGAUGCUCUUCUAGGUCGGUUGUUUCGCUCGUUCCAGAUCCAGUAGAGAGUAGCUUGCUAGCCGAGGAGAGUCAGAGAACGAGUAAAAGCUGGUGGAAGCAGAGUUAUCAUUUGGUGAAGAGUGUUCUCCCAUCUACGUUCCGGCGUGAUUCUGCAUCUGGCAGCGACAACUUGCAUCUUCUAGAAAUACAUGUUUAACUAUUCAUGCAUGUAUGUUGUAUAUAUUUAUACGUUUGUAUACAUGUAUUUUUAGUAUAUAUAUACUAUCCAUACUGGUUUCUCGAGACAGAAUAUGAAAGAGAAUCUGUAUAGAUAGAUUGAUCAACCA